rnacentral:lncRNA from 1 species
CCGAACCCACUGGGAACUAUAUUUAUAUAGUUCUCACCCCACUUUGUUACAGGGCCUAGUGAGAGAGCACCGGCAGAGGACCGUGGUAAGGGCAUAGCGCCCUAGCUAGCUAGUUACCUCCUAUAUGCAUUAGAGUCGGGCACCAUUUUGAGAGGUUAUGUAUUAUGGUUCGAGCGACUUAUGUACUUUGAUGGUGAGGUUGCUAGUGAUGUAUUUGGGAGUUACUUAUGUUGGAGAGCCAUUUUGUAUUAUGAGAAGAAUAUGUAUUCAUUUUGGAAGAUGAAAAUGUAAAUCAAUAUGUAAAAGUUGAAUGUGAUGUAAUAGCUAGAUCUAUCUCUCUUUAUUUCACUUGUAUGUUA